GUGACCUUGAGACCGACGGAGGCGGCUGGAUCGUAUUCCAGAACAGAUUCAAUGGUUCUGUGGAUUUCUUCAGACCAUUUGCAGACUAUGAAGAAGGUUUCGGUACAAAGUAUGGUGAAUUUUAGUUAGGUUUACAACUGCUGAGCGAGUUUACUACCAGGGGAGAUCUCAAUGAACUGCGUGUUGAUGUUGACAUAGUUAACGGCACGAAGUCGUUCGAUAUCUAUCGUCCAUUCAGCGUAGCAGCAGGGCCAGAUUACACGGCGCAACUCGGCAGCAGAGUUGGCUCUCAUGCACUGUAUCCAAUGAACCUCGACAUCAACGGGUCAAAAUUCAGCACGUACGAUCACGAUAUGGACAUUAAUCAAUUACAUAACUGUGCCAAGGAAGAAAAAGGCGGCUGGUGGUACAAAGCAUGUUACUAUUCCAAUCUGAACGGAGACUACCACCACGGCAUGUUGUAUUCCACCUUUACAACAAAUUGGCAAAAGCAUUAUUUAAAGGCAAGCAAAAUGAUGUUCCGUGCUUUCUAGCAAUGCCCUUUGAUUCAAUGUCAAAGUUUGCAAAUAUAAAUGGAAAUGAA